AUUGAACGCUGGCGGCAGGCUUAACACAUGCAAGUCGAGCGAGCGGCGGACGUGUUAGUAAUGUCUGGGAAACUGCCUGCUGGAGGGGGAUAACUACUGGAAACGGUAGCUAAUACCGCAUAACAUCAGAUGUGCCCAGAUGGGAGUAGCUAGUAGGUGGGGUAAUGGCUCACCUAGGCGACGAUCCCUAGCUGGUCUGAGAGGAUGACCAGCCACACUGGAACUGAGACACGGCCCAGACUCCUACGGGAGGCAGCAGUGGGGAAUAUUGCACAAUGGGCGCAAGCCUGAUGCAGCCAUGCCGCGUGUGUGAAGAAGGCCUUCGGGUUGUAAAGCACUUUUAGCGAGGAGGCGUUACUCGCAGAAGAAGCACCGGCUAACUCCGUGCCAGCAGCCGCGGUAAUUC
rnacentral:rRNA from 1 species